UACGUAGGGGCCAAGCGUUGUCCGGAUUUAUUGGGCGUAAAGAGCUCGUAGGCGGUUGGGUAAGUCGGGUGUGAAAACUCCAGGCUCAACUUGGAGAUGCCACCCGAUACUGCUCUGACUUGAGUUCGGUAGGGGAGUGGGGAAUUCCUGGUGUAGCGGUGAAAUGCGCAGAUAUCAGGAGGAACACCGGUGGCGAAGGCGGAUCUCUGGCCAUUACUGACGCUGAGGAGCGAAGCGUGGAGCGAACAGG
rnacentral:rRNA from 1 species